rnacentral:rRNA from 1 species
CAGUAGCCGCGGUAAUACGUAGGUGGCAAGCGUUGUCCGGAAUUAUUGGGCGUAAAGGGCUCGCAGGCGGUUUCUUAAGUCUGAUGUGAAAGCCCCCGGCUCAACCGGGGAGGGUCAUUGGAAACUGGGAAACUUGAGUGCAGAAGAGGAGAGUGGAAUUCCACGUGUAGCGGUGAAAUGCGUAAAGAUAUGGAGGAACACCAGUGGCGAAGGCGACUCUCUGGUCUGUAACUGACGCUGAGGAGCGAAAGCGUGGGGAGCGAACAGGAUUAGAUACCCCAGUAGUCCCUGUCUCUUAUAA